GGACUACUGGGGUAUCUAAUCCUGUUUGCUACCCACGCUCUCGCGCCUCAGUGUCAGUAUCUGUCCAGGUAGCCGCCUUCGCCACUGGUGUUCCUUCCGAUAUCUACGCAUUUCACCGCUACACCGGAAAUUCCACUACCCUCUACAGUACUCUAGUUUGCCAGUAUUACAUGCAGUUCCCAGGUUGAGCCCGGGGCUUUCACAUAUAACUUAACUAACCACCUACGCGCCCUUUACGCCCAAUAAUUCCGAUUAACGCUCGCACCCUCUGUAUUACCGCGGCUGCUGGCAC
rnacentral:rRNA from 1 species